AACGAACGCUGGCGGCGUGCCUAACACAUGCAAGUCGAGCGCGAAAGUUCCUUCGGGAGCGAGUAGAGCGGCGGACGGGUGAGUAAUACAUAGGUAAUCUACCUUCGAGCUUGGGAUAACCCCGCGAAAGUGGGGCUAAUACCGGAUAAGACCACGUAACUAUGUUACGGGGUAAAAGGUGGCUUAUUUUUUAAAUGAGCUAUCACUUGAGGAUGAGCCUGUGGCCUAUCAGCUUGUUGGCGGGGUAAGAGCCCACCAAGGCUAUGACGGGUAGCUGGUCUGAGAGGACGACCAGCCACACUGGGACUGAGACACGGCCCAGACUCCUACGGGAGGCAGCAGUGGGGAAUAUUGGGCAAUGGGCGAAAGCCUGACCCAGCGACGCCGCGUGGGCGAUGAAGGCCUUCGGGUUGUAAAGCCCUGUCAUGCGGAAAGAACGACCCUGCGACGCAUAAUCGCAGGGAGUGACGGUACCGCAGGAGGAAGCACCGGCUAACUCCGUGCCAGCAGCCGCGGUAAUACGGAGGGUGCAAGCGUUGUUCGGAGUUAUUGGGCGUAAAGGGCGCGUAGGCGGUAAUGUAAGUCAGAUGUGAAAUACUCCGGCUCAACCAGAGAAUUGCAUCUGAAACUACAUAACUAGAGUACAGAAGAGGGAAACGGAACUCCCGGUGUAGAGGUGAAAUUCGUAGAUAUCGGGAGGAACACCAGUGGCGAAGGCGGUUUCCUGGUCUGAUACUGACGCUGAGGCGCGAAAGUGUGGGGAGCAAACAGGAUUAGAUACCCUGGUAGUCCACACUGUAAACGGUGAACACUAGGUGUGGGAGGUGUAAUACCUUCCGUGCCGUAGCUAACGCGUUAAGUGUUCCGCCUGGGAAGUACGGCCGCAAGGUUGA
rnacentral:rRNA from 1 species